rnacentral:rRNA from 1 species
GACGAACGCUGGCGGCGUGCCUAAUACAUGCAAGUCGAGCGAGCUUGCCUAGAUGAAUUUGGUUCUUGCACCAGAUGAAACUAGAUACAAGCGAGCGGCGGACGGGUGAGUAACACGUGGGUAACCUGCCCAAGAGACUGGGAUAACACCUGGAAACAGAUGCUAAUACCGGAUAACAACACUAGACGCAUGUCUAGAGUUUAAAAGAUGGUUCUGCUCUCACUCUUGGAUGGACCUGCGGUGCAUUAGCUAGUUGGUAAGGCAACGGCUUACCAAGGCAAUGAUGCACAGCCGACGUGAGAGACUGAUCGGCCACAUUGGGAGUGAGACACGGCCCAAACUCCUACGGGAGGCAGCAGUAGGGAAUCUUCCACAAUGGACGCAAGUCUGAUGGAGCAACGCCGCGUGAGUGAAGAAGGGGUUCGGCUCGUAAAGCUCUGUUGGUAGUGAAGAAAGAUAGAGGUAGUAACUGGCCUUUAUUUGACGGUAAUUACUUAGAAAGUCACGGCUAACUACGUG